UCCUACGGGAGGCAGCAGUGGGGAAUCUUGCACAAUGGAGGAAACUCUGAUGCAGCGACGCCGCGUGAGGGAUGAAGGCCUCUGGGCUGUAAACCUCUUUUAUCAAGGAAGAAGAUCUGACGGUACUUGAUGAAUAAGCCACGGCUAAUUCCGUGCCAGCAGCCGCGGUAAUACGGGAGUGGCAAGCGUUAUCCGGAAUUAUUGGGCGUAAAGCGUCCGCAGGCGGUCUGUCAAGUCUGCUGUUAAAGCGCGGAGCUUAACUCCAUUUCGGCAGUGGAAACUGACAGACUAGAGUGUGGUAGGGGCAGAGGGAAUUCCCGGUGUAGCGGUGAAAUGCGUAGAUAUCGGGAAGAACACCAGUGGCGAAGGCGCUCUGCUGGGCCAUAACUGACGCUCAUGGACGAAAGCCAGGGGAGCGAAAGGGAUUAGAUACCCCUGUAGUCCUGGCCGUAAACGAUGAACACUAGGUGUCGGGGGAAUCGACCCCCUCGGUGUCGUAGCCAACGCGUUAAGUGUUCCGCCUGGGGAGUACGCACGCAAGUGUGAAACUCAAAGGAAUUGACGGA
rnacentral:rRNA from 1 species